AUUCAUUACUAAAUUCAAUGUUGUAGAUAAACGAAGGACUUUUUCACUUCAAAGCUUCAUUCCACUUUAUAUAGCUUAUGCUGAGAAUUUUACUAUCACUUUGAGGAACUGCCAAAUUUUCAAUGGUAUUGUUGCAAUGGCCUGUACGGCUUGAGUCGAGAUACCUCGAGGUUUUUCUCAUUCUCAAAGAUUUGAUAACACGAUUGAUUACAUACAUAGAGACUUCUUUCAUUGGUUGUUUUCUCGUAUGUGUAGCUGUACGUGUACACAUUGACAUACCAUCCAUUAUUGAUAUUCUCGUUAAGGUUUCAGUUCGCAUCGCAACCAAUCAUAAUCAAAACAGGAGGCCAAAUAAACUAGCAAAGGUAUUAUGCUUAUAUAACGGCUCGAAUAUUCGAACAAAGUCUAAAGUUCCAUUUUUCCACAAAAAUGAUUAAUAAAAAACGAUAUAAUUUAUA